UACGUAGGGUGCAAGCGUUAAUCGGAAUUACUGGGCGUAAAGCGUGCGCAGGCGGUGAUGUAAGACAGAUGUGAAAUCCCCGGGCUCAACCUGGGAACUGCAUUUGUGACUGCAUCGCUGGAGUGCGGCAGAGGGGGGAUGGAAUUCCGCGUGUAGCAGUGAAAUGCGUAGAGAUGCGGAGGAACACCGAUGGCGAAGGCAGCCCCCCUGGGUCGACACUGACGCUCAGGCACGAAAGCGUGGGGGAGCAAACAGG
rnacentral:rRNA from 1 species